ACGUGGGUGAUCUGCCCUGCACUUUGGGAUAAGCCUGGGAAACUGGGUCCAAUACCGAAUAUGAUCAUGCUCUUCAUGGGGUGUGGUGGAAAGCUUUUGCGGUGUGGGAUGGGCCCGCGGCCUAUCAGCUUGUUGGUGGGGUAAUGGCCUACCAAGGCGACGACGGGUAGCCGGCCUGAGAGGGUGUCCGGCCACACUGGGACUGAGAUACGGCCCAGACUCCUACGGGAGGCAGCAGUGGGGAAUAUUGCACAAUGGGCGCAAGCCUGAUGCAGCGACGCCGCGUGAGGGAUGACGGCC
rnacentral:rRNA from 1 species